rnacentral:rRNA from 1 species
UACAGAGGGUGCAAGCGUUAAUCGGAAUUACUGGGCGUAAAGCGUGCGUAGUCGGUUAUUUAAGUCGGAUGUGAAAUCCCCGGGCUCAACCUGGGAAUUGCAUUCGAUACUGGAUAGCUAGAGUUCGGCAGAGGGAAGUGGAAUUUCAGGUGUAGCGGUGAAAUGCGUAGAUAUCUGAAGGAACAUCAGUGGCGAAAGCGACUUCCUGGACCAGAACUGACGAUCAGGCACGAAAGCGUGGGGAGCAAACAGG